GAUGAAGAACGCAGCGAAAUGCGAUAAGUAGUGUGAAUUGCAGAAUUCAGUGAAUCAUCGAAUCUUUGAACGCACAUUGCGCCCCUUGGUAUUCCAUGGGGCAUGCCUGUUCGAGCGUCAUCUACACCCUCAAGCUCUGCUUGGUGUUGGGCGUCUGUCCCGCCCCCGCGCGUGGACUCGCCCCAAACCCAUUGGCAGCGUUCCUUGCCCCCUCUCGCGCAGCACAUUGCGCUUCUCGAGGGCGGCUCCGGGACGCGAUCCAGCAAGAUGACCACCGUCUUUGACCUCGGAUCAGGUAGGGAUACCCGCUGAACUUAAGCAUAUCAAUAAGCGGAGGA
rnacentral:misc_RNA from 1 species